GUUACUUCUUGGCCUCUUGGCUAAGAUCAAGUAUAGUAUCUGUUAUUAGUUUAAUAUCUGGUAUGUCCUGUAUCUGAGGACAGUAAGUUAAAUGUUUUUUAGAGCAGGGAGAUGGAAUAGGUGCUUGCCCCAUUCACUCUGUGCAUCAACGUGGUAUUACAGUACCUCCAAGAAUGGUGCACCCCCU